UCGUAUCCCGUAUUUACCCCCUUUCAGUAUGUGAGACAGAGAGUGGGAGAGUGUCUGUUAGUCAUGGCGAUCUGUUAAUGGAGCAGAAAACGAGAAACCAGACCAGACCGACCUAGAUUCCGUUGCUGCUAUCAAAGAAUCAUAUAUCUGCCUUCGAACGAACUCAAGAGUUCUUCUGUAAAGAGUUCUUUCGAAGAGGGGCUUGAACACUCUCCAAGUAAAGAGGAACCAAUGAAGUUGGAGAAGCAAAUUAAACCAUAAUGCUCAAGUUUCCAAGGCGAUUGCUGCCGCUAAGUUGAUGAGAGAAGGUUGAAGAUUGGGAAGUCCGUAUCAAGAACUUAUGGAAUAUGAAGCCAACAUUGGAUAAACAAGAUAUUCUUCACUGAAAGUUCUCCAUUGUUACUGUGGGAUAGAGAACAUGCUUACACCCGUGAAGCUAUUGACUUGUAUCAUGAGGUUGAUUUUGGAUUUCCCUUACCAAAGAUGGAAUAUCUUCGGCAUCUCUAGAAGGCAGUGCCGUUCUCUUGCCGAAAGCAUCAUUGAAGACGAGAAAGAUGCAAGUGCGAGUUUAACUGAUAGCGCUUCAGCAGGUAUUGUACAUCUUGUCUUUUGUCUGCUGUCUGUGGGAAGACGACAUAUUCAUACUUUUCCUAAACAUUCUUCUAGGAGGAAUGGAGGAAAAUAAAGUUGAAUUCUUAGACGGCUACACCUCUAUGUUGAAAGUUCCACUGAGCUAUGUAGGACGGAUAGCCAAUAUUCCUCUCACAUAUUUCACAUAAUUAUUACAUUAUGUUUAUAGAAGCGAAAUUUAUGUCUAUGGACUCUGGGUGAUAAUUAUAAAGUACGAAAAAUAUUUCUUAGUUUGGGUGAUGGUUAUUGUUGGUCCAUUAUGGUCCAUCAGGAUGAUCAUGAACUUAUUUAUGUCCUCUUACCCUUAAAAGUAAGUUUAUCAUGAAACAUGAUGCCAAAGUAAUCUAUGGACGUGCUAUAGUUUCCAAUAUCCGGGUUCGUUGUCGCAUCAUAUAGCAAACUUUUGCAAAAUAUAUUCUCGCACUUGCAGCUAAUCUAGGUCACUUGCAGAAAGCUAACUUCACUAUUUUUAUUUCCUGGGUAAAUGAAAAGAAAAAGAAAACGCUUCAUGAUGUUCUGAGGCAGCCGGACUUUGUCGUUCCUGAAAUCCCUGGUGGGCUUUCUCUCCUAGAAAUUCAUCUGCCAGUUAACUUCAGUACAAAUCUUCAUUUUCCCCGCUUCUAUUAACUUCUCUUUCCUUUUUGUUUCCGCCUGAAGUUUCUAUGUUGUGUCUAAAUGCUCCAGCUUCUAUGAAAAGUUCAAAGACGGCAAAUGGGCUCCACCAUAAUAAAUUUUCAUUACAAUGAGAAGAAAUAUAUCAUAAAUAUGUUUUAGUUAUGAUCAGGUUUAAUCACUGCUAGCUCCAUAAGUAUUCGAGUAAUUAAUAUUGUUGUAUAUGGGACGUGGAUGUUUGUUGAUUACUGGGUAUGCUGAAGUCUGCUGAUUACAUUUGCCUCUUUGAAGUACCAAGAGAUUUGCAUAUCCAAUAAUUCAAGCUUUGUCAAUAACCAGAACAUGCUAAAUUCUAAAUAUAUAGCGUAAACAUGAAUUAUUUAUUUUUGCAGGAAUACUAUUUGACAUUUCAGUGAUUAUUCUGACCUUUUGAUCAGUGACGUUUAUGGACUCGGUAGUUUGUCAGUUUUUUAUGGAGAAGAACAGUUUGAUAUUAUUGGAUAUGUGCUCUCAAUCAUUGAGGCUUUAGAUGAGUACUAAUCUUUAUUUUUUUAAUUCUAUUAUUAUGAUAUAGUUCAUUUCAGAUCCAACUGCAGGAGGCUCUCAAAGUUGUUGUCACCAUUAAAGGAGACCAAUAUCUUAAUAUCAGGUUUUGAGAAUUUGCCGAAUUUUCCAUUCCAGGUUGCAUUGAAAAUUUAACUAUCUAUGCCACAGCUAUUACAGCGCGUGCCAGGUGUUCUAGUUAGGCAUAAUUGUCAACUAUUGUUUCUGAACUUGUAAAUAAGUUAUUGAAGUAAUCAAGCUGGAACCAAUUUUAAUAAUUUUUUAGGUAUUCAACUACGCGGCCAAACUGCAGCCUUAGAAAGCUUGUGUGAGUCGUUUGAUUCUAGUGGUAAAUAGUUACCAAUCAAACUCAUGCCAUAACGUGGUCCUUCCGUUUCAAUGUUCAUGACUAGAUUCCCGAAUCCUCCUUGAUCAGUACGUUUGCAUGUAAGUAAUCAGUGGCCUCAUAUGUAAGGCAAGAAGAUGCCUAGUCAGCAUAAUCUUGUAGCCGGAGGAGUUGAUCGCCUUGCAAGGUCCCAAUCGAUCGUCACCCGUUUAGGCAUUAUUUAUCAGCCUGUCAUUUGGCAUUGGUUACCAUAUUAAAUUUUGAUAGUGAGCUGCUAUAUUCGUCACGAUUCACUCCUCCAGAAUCUGGAACUACUCGACUCUGACUCCGAAAACGUGGAUUGAUUCCUGAAACAACAAAAUUUUCGAAAUUUUAGAGACGGGAAGACAAAUUACCAGAUCCUCAACGAUUCUUCCCACGGGAGUAGUACUACCUACUCUACUUUUGAUUUCGAAAAUGUGCCAACGGUAACUUUUACUACAAUAUUUAAUUUCGAAACGUGUUUACACUUUCCUUGUUUCCAAGGAUUUUUCAUAAAUUCCUUUUACGGAAAAAAACAGAAAAUAUCUCGGAUUACCAAAUACCUCCACAUGUAUGCCAAAACGGUGAAUUUUUUAAUUUCGUAAACGUGUUUACAGUCUACUUUUCCUUGUUUUCAAGGGUUGAUUCUUCGUAGCAUCUCCAAUAGAAGGUCAAAGAUAUUUUACAUGGAGUUCAUUUUUAGACUUCUGUUUGAUGGAGUUUCAAUAUAUACGUCUAGAU